rnacentral:lncRNA from 1 species
CUGAGCUCUCUCCUUCUCAGCCGCCGAAACCACUUUGACAAAGGCUCUAUGUGCGCCAUUGCCAAACCUCUCUCAGCCAAACCUACCUCUCUCUCAGCCUUCCUCUCUCUCAUCCUCUCUGACAGAGGCUCUGUCCAAGCCAAUCCUCUCUGCGCAAAACCUCCUCUCAGGAAAACCUCUCUAUCAACCGCGCCUCUGUCAUCCCGCACCUCUGUCAGCCUCCGUUUCUCUCUGAGCCGCCACCUCUCUCAGUCGCCGCCAUCACAGGUCAGAUUGUCUCUUUUUUUCUUUUUCUUUUCUUCUUUUCCCCCUUCGAAUCUAUGGCUAACUCUAUAUGUGUGCAAUUCGCAGAUUCAGCAUAGCAGUUCGCAGCCAACUCUUCAUUUUAUUUACCUCUUUUUCUCUCUGUUAGGUAUGAUUCGCCAUAAACUAUUUGAGAAUUUGAGUUUCUUUGUUAUGCUGCCAAGUUUAGUUUAUUUCUCCACCUAGCUGGCGUG